rnacentral:rRNA from 1 species
AAUAAAUUCAACGGGCCACGGGUACAUUAACCGUGGCAAAGGUAGCAUAAUCACUUGUUCUUUAAAUAGGGACUAGUAUCAACGGCAUCACGAGGGUUGCACUGUCUCCUUUCUCCAAUCAGUGAAACUGAUCUUCCUGUGAAAAAGCAGGAAUACACCUAUAAGACGAGAAGACCCCAUGGAGCUUUAAAUCUAUGGCAACUCAGUUACAUAUUCAAUAAAAACACAGAGCCGUGCCUAUCGGUUUUAGGUUGGGGCGACCACGGAGCAAAAAUUAACCUCCGUAACGAAAAGAACUAAAUCUUUAUCCAAGAAUCACCACCUCUAAGAAUUAGCACACUAACGUAAAAUGACCCGAUAUUCGAUCAACGAACUUAGUUACCCUGGGGAUAACAGCGCAAUCCACUUCGAGAGUUCAUAUCGACAAGUGGGCUUACGACCUCGAUGUUGGAUCAGGGUUCCCAAGUGGUGCAGCCGCUACUAAAGGUUCGUUUGUUCAACGAUUAAAACCCCUACGUGAUCUGAGUC